CUCGUUAGUGGGCAUUCCAUGACAAUGU
rnacentral:sRNA from 1 species